rnacentral:rRNA from 1 species
ACGUAGGGGGCAAGCGUUGUCCGGAUUUAUUGGGCGUAAAGAGCGUGUAGGCGGCCAGAUAGGUCUGUUGUGAAAACUCGAGGCUCAACCUCGAGACGCCGAUGGAAACCAUUUGGCUAGAGUCCGGAAGAGGAGAGUGGAAUUCCUGGUGUAGCGGUGAAAUGCGCAGAUAUCAGGAAGAACACCCGUGGCUAAGGCGGCUCUCUAGUACGGUACUGACGCUGAGACGCGAAAGCGUGGGGAGCGAACAGG